GCAAGCAUUCAGUCAUCAACUCGACGCCAAGACAAACAGAUAUCAGAAACCAAAUAUAAAUAAAAAUAAAAAUAAAAACAUAAAAAGCAAUAGAGCGACCAAAGCACCGAUUGUAAAUCUACUUCAAACGAAAUCAGUAUUAAUUCUUUGUGUGACACACUCGCUACUGCUGUUGCUGAUUUUACAGCCACCUCUGAACUACGCCCAAAUCCACGUCCAUCACCAAUCCAGAAACAGUAUGGCUAGCCCCGAUAGCAACAAUGUGGCCGAAUUCUCGCGCCGCUUGGCCACAUUCUCGAUCAAUGUGUACAACAAACUGAUCACGCAGAAACCCAAUCAGAACAUCAUCUUCUCACCCUUCUCAAUUCAAACCUGUGCAGCCAUGGCCCGCCUAGGAGCCGUAGGCGAAACAGCUGCCCAAUUGGAUCGCGGCCUUGGACUGAUUUCGAAUAAUGAAGCACAGAUUGCAGAGAGUUUCCACCGUGUGCUCACAGCUUACGAGAACAGUAGCAUUCUGCAUAUUGCCAACAAGAUAUAUAUCAUGACUGGUUUCCAACUCAAAGAUGACUUCAGUUCACUGAUCUCCAAACAGUUUCUAUCUGCUGUCGAAACCGUAGAUUUCUCCAAAAAUGUUGAGGCUGCAGGUAAAAUUAACACCUGGGUGGAGCAGCGCACCAAUAAUCUCAUAAAAAAUCUGGUAUCACCAAGUGCAUUGGGUCAAGACUCGCGCUUGGUGCUGAUCAAUGCGAUACACUUCAAGGGAAAUUGGGUACAUCAAUUCCCAGAACAUAUGACCCACAAUGAACCUUUCCAUUUGAACGACGCUGAUAGCAUUGAAGUUCCCAUGAUGAACUUGAAGAAACGUUUCCGGUAUGCGAACCUAGGUGAUCUGGAUGCCACAGCACUGGAAUUGCCCUACAAAGACUCGGACUUGUCCAUGCUGAUCGUGUUGCCGAAUAGCAAAACUGGUCUAUCACAACUGGAGGAGAAACUUCGCAGCACUCCGCUCUCCCAGAUUACUGGAGCACUCUACUCGACCGAUGUGAUUGUCAAACUGCCGAAGUUCAAGUCUGAGUUCGAGGUAGAGUUGACAGAGACCUUCAAGCAGUUGGGCAUGACGCAUUUGUUCUCGAAUGAUGCGGACUUCAGCAAAAUGCUCCAGAGUCCUGAGGCGUUGAAGGUAUCGAAAAUCAUUCACAAGGCCUUUAUCGAUGUGAAUGAGAAGGGCACUGAGGCAGCUGCAGCCACCGCAAUGGUUGUAUCUUGUGAAAUGAUGAUCAUCUCAUUUGAACCGGAGCCCAUCGAGUUUUUCGUUGAACAUCCAUUCUCUUAUUACAUUAUCAAUGAGAAUAAUGCGGUGCUGUUUGCUGGCAAGCAAUGUGGAAAAUUUUAAAUUUAAAGAAAACAAAAUUUUGUCUACAAUUAAAGUCAACGCUUUAAGUUUUAUUAAAGAAAAGUUAUUUAUUGGCAGCUUCUAAAUUAAAAUAAAAUUUUUAAUUAAUUGAAUUUACAUUAAGACGAAUAAGUUAUAUAUCAAAGAAUCCACAACAUAUUUCGUUGCUGUUCGUCCAGUUCGUCACACAUUAUUUUCAUUAUUUGUAAAUAAUUGUCCUUGCUCGAUUAGGAGUCCAAUCAUUACCAGCAGAGCAAAUAUUUAAAUAUUUUGUCAUUAAUAAAAAUCUACUAAAAACCAUAUUUUAAGUAUGUGGAAGAUUAUAAUAUUAAAUAAACAUUUUCCAA